AGAUGCUGAGGUGCUGCCCCAGUUCUCCAGCGCAAACCUCACGCAGGCUGAACUCGGCGAGCCUGUGCUGGAGACGGUGCUGGAGCCCGGGGACCUGCUGUACUUCC
rnacentral:miRNA from 12 species